UACGGAGGGCGCGAGCGUUAAUCGGAAUUACUGGGCGUAAAGCGUGCGUAGGCGGCGCGCCAAGCCAGGCGUGAAAGCCCCGGGCUCAACCUGGGAACUGCGCUUGGGACUGGCGUGCUGGAGUUUGGGAGAGGCAGGCGGAAUUCCGGGUGUAGCGGUGAAAUGCGUAGAUAUCCGGAGGAACACCCGUGGCGAAGGCGGCCUGCUGGCCCAAAACUGACGCUGAGGCACGAAAGCGUGGGUAGCAAACAGG
rnacentral:rRNA from 1 species